UAAAUGCAUUAUCUGGAAUGCA
rnacentral:miRNA from 1 species